UACGUAGGGUGCAAGCGUUGUCCGGAAUCAUUGGGCGUAAAGAGCGUGUAGGCGGCCCGAUCAGUCCGCUGUAAAAGUCCAGGGCUCAACCCUGGGAUGCCGGUGAUACUGUCGGGCUAGAGUCCGGAAGAGGCGAGUGGAAUUCCUGGUGUAGCGGUGAAAUGCGCAGAUAUCAGGAGGAACACCAAUGGCGAAGGCAGCUCGCUGGGACGGUACUGACGCUGGAGACGCGAAAGCGUGGGGAGCAAACAGG
rnacentral:rRNA from 1 species